rnacentral:rRNA from 2 species
AAUGCUUGCAUUCACCGUAAGAAGUUGAGUGGCGGACGGGUGAGUAACACGUGGGUAACCUGCCUAAAAGAAGGGGAUAACACUUGGAAACAGGUGCUAAUACCGUAUAUCUCUAAGGAUCGCAUGAUCCUUAGAUGAAAGAUGGUUCUGCUAUCGCUUUUAGAUGGACCCGCGGCGUAUUAACUAGUUGGUGGGGUAACGGCCUACCAAGGUGAUGAUACGUAGCCGAACUGAGAGGUUGAUCGGCCACAUUGGGACUGAGACACGGCCCAAACUCCUACGGGAGGCAGCAGUAGGGAAUCUUCCACAAUGGACGCAAGUCUGAUGGAGCAACGCCGCGUGAGUGAAGAAGGUCUUCGGAUCGUAAAACUCUGUUGUUAGAGAAGAACACGAGUGAGAGUAACUGUUCAUUCGAUGACGGUAUCUAACCAGCAAGUCACGGCUAACUACGUGCCAGCAGCCGCGGUAAUACGUAGGUGGCAAGCGUUGUCCGGAUUUAUUGGGCGUAAAGGGAACGCAGGCGGUCUUUUAAGUCUGAUGUGAAAGCCUUCGGCUUAACCGGAGUAGUGCAUUGGAAACUGGAAGACUUGAGUGCAGAAGAGGAGAGUGGAACUCCAUGUGUAGCGGUGAAAUGCGUAGAUAUAUGGAAGAACACCAGUGGCGAAAGCGGCUCUCUGGUCUGUAACUGACGCUGA